UACAGAGGUCUCAAGCGUUGUUCGGAUUCAUUGGGCGUAAAGGGUGCGUAGGCGGCGCGGUAAGUCGGAUGUGAAAUCUCGGAGCUUAACUCCGAAACUGCAUUCGAUACUGCCGUGCUUGAGGACUGGAGAGGAGACUGGAAUUUACGGUGUAGCGGUGAAAUGCGUAGAUAUCGUAAGGAAGACCAGUGGCGAAGGCGGGUCUCUGGGCCGUAACUGACGCUGAGGAGCGAAAGCGUGGGGAGCGAACAGG
rnacentral:rRNA from 1 species